rnacentral:rRNA from 1 species
GAUGAACGCUAGCGGCAGGCCUAACACAUGCAAGUCGAGGGGCAGCGGGAGUAGCAAUACUUGCCGGCGACCGGCGCACGGGUGCGUAACGCGUAUGGAACCUGCCCCCCGCUGGGGGAUAGCCCGUCGAAAGGCGGAUUAAUACCCCAUGGCCUCCCGGGACCGCAUGGUCCUGGGGGUAAAGCUUCGGCGGCGGGGGAUGGCCAUGCGUGCCAUUAGCUGGUUGGCGGGGUAACGGCCCACCAAGGCGACGAUGGCUAGGGGGUCUGAGAGGAUGGUCCCCCACACUGGUACUGAGACACGGACCAGACUCCUACGGGAGGCAGCAGUGAGGAAUAUUGGUCAAUGGGCGGAAGCCUGAACCAGCCAUGCCGCGUGCAGGAUGACGGCCCUACGGGUUGUAAACUGCUUUUGCACGGGAAGAAUAACCCCCUCGCGAGGGGGGAUGCCGGUACCGUGCGAAUAAGGAUCGGCUAACUCCGUGCCAGCAGCCGCGGUAAUACGGAGGAUCCGAGCGUUAUCCGGAUUUACUGGGUUUAAAGGGUGCGUAGGCGGGCGCCUAAGUCAGCGGUGAAAGGCAGCGGCUCAACCGUUGAACUGCCGUUGAAACUGGGCGCCUUGGAUUCGGUCGGGGCCGGCGGAAUGCGUGGUGUAGCGGUGAAAUGCUUAGAUAUCACGCGGAACGCCGAUCGCGAAGGCAGCUGGCCAGGCCGAGAUCGACGCUGAGGCACGAAAGCGUGGGGAUCAAACA